UUCUUUUCGUUUAAAGGUCUCUAAGGCGAAAGUUGUGUUUUUCUGUGCAUUUCACGUUUCGUGUCAAGAACCAAAGACUUAAACAUGCGUUACGUGGCUGCAUAUUUGUUGGCUGUCCUCGGCGGACAGGAGAGUCCCGCCAAUGCCGAUCUGGAGAAGAUCCUCAGCUCGGUUGGCAUCGAGGUCGACGCUGAGCGUUUGAGCCGCGUGAUCAAGGAGCUGAAGGGCAAAAGCAUCGAUGACCUCAUUAAGGAGGGACGCGAGAAACUCUCGUCGAUGCCCGUUGGUGGCGGCGGCGCUGCUGCUGCUGCGACCGCUGCCCCAGCCGGUGCUGCUGCAGGCGGUGACAAGAAGGAAGCCAAGAAGGAGGAGAAGAAAGAGGAGUCCGAGUCGGAGGAUGACGAUAUGGGCUUCGCUCUCUUUGAAUAAAUGCCUUCAUCUCUUCUCCAUCUCCGUCUCUUGUCCGCAUAUACGGUGCUAAAUAACAGCAGCAGCAGCAGCAUUAACAGCUACACUCGAGGACAAUCAGCUGAGGAAAAAAAUAACAUCGACUGCUUUACUUGCACAGUGGGCACAUUGCUUAAAGUUGCCAUUCAAAAUUUUGUUUUAUCCACCAACGGUCAUCAAGAUAUACAUAAAAAAAAUUUGAAAAACGGUUAAAUCAACGUUUAUUUCUAUGAAAUAAAAAUCUGCUGUGUUUAUGCUUUAUAUGCGUCCAUA